rnacentral:rRNA from 1 species
AGUGAACGCUGGCGGUAGGCCUAACACAUGCAAGUCGAACGGCAGCACAGUAAGAGCUUGCUCUUACGGGUGGCGAGUGGCGGACGGGUGAGGAAUACAUCGGAAUCUACUUUUUCGUGGGGGAUAACGUAGGGAAACUUACGCUAAUACCGCAUACGACCUACGGGUGAAAGCAGGGGAUCUUCGGACCUUGCGCGAUUGAAUGAGCCGAUGUCGGAUUAGCUAGUUGGCGGGGUAAAGGCCCACCAAGGCGACGAUCCGUAGCUGGUCUGAGAGGAUGGUAAGCCAAAGUGAAGUAGAGCACCGAGCAAGGCUCCGACGGGAGGAAUGAGUGGGGAAGAGAGGACAAGGAGCUCCGGCCUGAGCCAGCGACACCGCGUGGGGGAAGAAGGCCUGCGGGUUGUAAAGCCUUUUUGUUAGAAAAGAAAAGCAGCGGGUUAACCCCCCGCUUUUCUGACGGUACACAAAGAAUAAGCACCGGAUAACUUGGUGCCAGCAGCCGCGGUAAUAAGCGAAGGACCACUUGUUGAAC